UACGAACCGUGCGAACGUUGUUCGGAAUCACUGGGCUUAAAGGGCGCGUAGGCGGCCCGCCGCGUCCGGGGUGAAAUCCUCCCGCUCAACGGGAGAACGGCCUCGGAUACGGGCGGGCUGGAGGGGGGUAGGGGCAGGCGGAACUGUGGGUGGAGCGGUGAAAUGCGUUGAGAUCCACAGGAACUCCGGUGGCGAAGGCGGCCUGCUGGACCCCAUCUGACGCUGAGGCGCGAAAGCCAGGGGAGCGAACGGG
rnacentral:rRNA from 1 species